GACGAACGCUGGCGGCGUGCUUAACACAUGCAAGUCGAGCGGAGCGGCUGACGGGUGAGUAACGCGUGAGUAACUGCCCCCCUCUCUGGGAUAACAGUUGGAAACGGCUGCUAAUACCGGCUAGUGGGGGCUGACUCGCGUCUUAUGAGCUUGUUGGUGGGGUAGUGGCCUACCAAGGCGACGACGGGUAGCCGGCCUGAGAGGGCGACCGGCCACAUGGGGCUGGGAUAGGGCCCAAACGCCUACGGGAGGCAGCAGUGGGGAAUAUUGCACAAUGGGGGAAACCCUGAUGAAGAAACGCCGCGUGCGGGAUGACGGCCUUCGGGUUGUAAACCGCUUUCAGCUAUGACGCGGUAGUGGCAGAAGAAGCACCGGCUAACUACGUGCCAGCAGCCGCGGUAAUUC
rnacentral:rRNA from 1 species